GCCAAACAAAAGCCCAAACAACCCCACCAAACAUAUUACAUUAACUAAACAAACCAUUUGACUAAAAAAGUAUUUGAGAAAGAACCUUAAACCGGCGCAAUCACUUACCGCAAGGGACAAUUGAAAGAAAAAUUAAAUACUUAAGCAAAAUAAAGCAAAGACUAACCCUUGUACCUUUUGCAUCAUGGUUUAGCAAGAAAUAUCAGACAAAGAGACCUUAAGCCUGCCAACCCGAAACUACGUGACUACUUCCGGCAAUAAUAGAUC
rnacentral:rRNA from 1 species